rnacentral:tRNA from 1 species
GCCUGUCUAGCUCAUUUGGUAGAGCACAAAGCUAUUAACCUUGUGGUCGUGGGUUCGAGCCCCAUGGUGGGCG